UACGGAGGGUGCAAGCGUUGCUCGGAAUCACUGGGCGUAAAGGGCGUGUAGGCGGCCUGUUAAGUCUGAUGUGAAAUCCCCUCGCUCAACGAGGGAACUGCGUCGGAAACUGGCAGGCUCGAGUACCGGAGAGGAAGGUGGAAUUCCCGGUGUAGCGGUGAAAUGCGUAGAUAUCUGGAGGAAUACCGGUGGCGAAGGCGGCAUCCUGGACCGGCAUUGACGCUGAGGAGCGAAAGCCAGGGGAGCAAACGGG
rnacentral:rRNA from 1 species